ensembl:lncRNA
GUAAUAAUAAAGAAUAAAUGCUAAUUAUUUCAUUAGUUGUCAUAUACACAGUUAUGGUUAAUUACUAAUUACUGCCUUAAAGGUGUCUUCAUUCCAAGGCAGAAAAGUAUGGACAUAUACAGGGUCAGGAGUAUGGUAACAGAAGUUCUAGGAGCACUCAGAGGAAGGCAUUGCUAACUACUGAAGGCUGGAGGAUGGGCGAAUACAGAAAAAAUGUCCAAAGGGAGAGAUUUGGAGCUUAGCACUGACUGGCAAAUGGCAGCUCUCAGGCACAGAGAUGACAAGAGUGGAGGCAACAUUCCAAGGAAAAUAGAACAUAUUGGGGGGCCCAAAGGAUGAACAAUAGCGAAAUUCAGAAAGAAGUAAUUGCGUUUGGCUCUGGUACUAGGUUCUGUGUAGAAAGAAGUAGGAGCAAAGAAAACGAGAAAGGGAAGGAGGAGAGACAAAAAGUUCAUCAAUUUCCACAAAAUGUUCCUUGUCACAGACUCCCUGCUAUUCUUACAGACUGCCAUGAACCAGCUCCCAAAUGGUGGCCAGCUGAUUCUUCCCUCACCUGCAGAAUCCAGAUCAAUAAGUGAUCCUUAGCAAAAAAAGAAAAAGAUUAAUCAAAGUGAAAACAGGCAUGAUAGCUAAAUUUUAAGCCUGAUUAUGUGGUGUGAAUGAAAACAGGUUGUGCUGCACAAAACUCCAACAGGUCUUUCUAAAAAACGGGAUGCAUUAUAAUAAAAAAGUAACCCGAGGAUACGGUUCAGAGAAGAAUGUGGCUCGUUUUCGAUGAGACUGCAGUAUGCUUUUUACUGCAUGUGGCAAGCAUCUCUUAAUAAAGAUUAGAAACUGUCCAGUGAAAAUAUUUGCGUUAUUUUCAACACUGAUUAAAACAUUUUGUGUGGAUCCAGCACGGGGGUGCCAUACACUAUGCAAGACCCACUGUGUUACUUGGCAGAAAAUAAAUUAUUGAGCUUUAAAAUGUGCUAUGGUAGCUGUCUUCAUUAUAGAGACCUUGCACACAGCAUACAAAAACAUCUAUAAUGUUACAGCACCUGGAUGCCUGCACUAUUAAACAUCAAUACAAUCUGUGUUCAUAUCAUCUCCAUGCUAAUCAGAUCGAUUUACUACUGAUAUAGUGUCUUGUCACAGUAUCGUAAUGCUAAUCAAACAAAUGGAGCAAAAGGGAGAUAAUUCAGAUAUAUAGGUAUUUAAUAGCACAGUUAAAAAAAAAAAAAGGAAUCAAAAGCACACACACAAGGUGCAGCUGUGUCGUGGACAGGCAGAUUCCUCAUCAAGUCCUGGGUGGUGGUGCUGUAAUUUUGUCAGCAGUCAUUAAAAAGGGAAUAUAAUACAGUUUGAUGCUAUAAAAUGGACUUGAAAGGGAAAUGAGAUUACUGCUGCUGCUUAGCAUGGCAGAGGUAAUUAGCUGCACAGGUAAUUAGAUACAGAUUCCUAGCAUAUCCUAGUGGGGGCAGUGGAUGAUGGCUUGAGAUAAUAUCUUUCUGCCCGUUGAAAAAGAUCAAUGUCACAGUUGUUUCAGAUCCAAAACAAGAUCCUCAUCAAACAUUCUAAUCCUCCAGACAGCAAAGACGCUGUAGUAGCUGCAGUAAAACGUGAUACAACUUAAUAAAAUAUACUAGGGAGGCUGGAUCGGCAGCGGGGCAACCGGGGACACCACUGCCUCACUGGAGGUAUCAGUCCUUAAGCCACAUAUCUGCCUAUCUCAGUUAUCACUUUGUGACACUCUCAAUUGAGAAUGUCUCCUGGAUUCUCUUACUAAUUUCAUUUAUAACAAUAAAGACAAUGAGAGGGAGGGGAAAAUCAAUGAUAAUACCCCCCCAAAUAGAAAAUCUAUCAACAUAGUCAUCUUUUAAAUAGUUAUCCAAUGAAUUUAAUGUAUGUCUAAUGUACACAAAUUUUGGCCAAAGCUUACACNNNNNNNNNNNNNNNNNNNNNNNNNNNNNNNNNNNNNNNNNNNNNNNNNNNNNNNNNNNNNNNNNNNNNNNNNNNNNNNNNNNNNNNNNNNNNNNNNNNUACACUUCAUCAGCUGAGCUAUAUCUACUGGUGGAUGUAGCGGCAAAUGAAACUCCUUGACUAGCGAGUGAAUCUUUUCUACUGUCAACACGGAAGAGUUCCCCAAACCAUUGUGCUGUCCUAUGCUCUAUCAUCGUCUGCUGAAAGACUUGGAUAAAAAAUGAAAAAAAGCUUCUACAUUCUUUAUUCAACAAAUAUUUGAGAAAUGACUAUUACGUAUGCAAUCCAGAACCAAAGCAAACCUUCCUACACGUACUUGGGCCACUGAGCCAUUAAUGGGGCACCUGUACUGCCCGCUGGCAGCCAUAUGGAUUGGAACUGUGGCGAGUGCUGCCCACCAGCGCAUGGACCAGGCAAAGCAAACUUAGUGAACCCUGCGUCCCGCUGCGAGAAAACAGACAGCCCCAGAGAAUACAUUCCAAAGUGAAAUGAAACUUCUUGAAAACAAGCAAAUGACAACAACAACAAAGAAACCCUAACUCUUCAUGUCUUCCUAUAGAAAGAGAAAAAGUCAUCACAUAAAAGCCAUUCAGAUGGUUUUAGAAUCAGCCAUUCCGGGUAACUGAUUAGAACGCUUUCCAUUUAGGAACACGGCUGUUAGAAAAUCAAUUUGUUAGUUUAGCGCAAAGAGACUUGCCAACAGGUUACUCUGAAAGAGUCUGAACACUGUCAGUUUUCUCUUCACCAGUCCUCUUUUGUAGGAUCAAUGGAGGAGGAGAUGGACAAAACAAGAGUAACUAUUUUGACACCUUGAAUGGCGAUCAGAAGUUAGUUGACAGCAUGAAGAAACUCCAGUCAGAAAAUUCACUUUUUUGUUCAAAUGUUCUUAAUACUACUUGGUAUCAUAUUUUUUCCUAACAUGAUGACUGGUUGCUGCCAUCUUGCUGACACUGAAAAGUCAUCAUAAAUAGGGCUGGCUUCAUGCCUAUUCAAACCUCUGCAGUCAAAGAGCUGCGAGCUUUCCUGGUUUAAUACUUGAUUUGUUACUGUCCUGAAUUUCUUCUAAGUUUUAAACGAGGUGCUUGCCAUUUUCAUCUUGCACUGGACCAGCAAGUUAUGUAGUUGGCAAACAUCANNNNNNNNNNNNNNNNNNNNNNNNNNNNNNNNNNNNNNNNNNNNNNNNNNNNNNNNNNNNNNNNNNNNNNNNNNNNNNNNNNNNNNNNNNNNNNNNNNNAAGUUAUGUAGUUGGCAAACAUCAGCAUCCCUUUUAUAUAUGGUGGAAAGACCAUAUAUGGUAGGGAGGCCAUUCAUCACAGGGCAUCAUGUAAGAAUUGAAAUGAUAAAUGAACAGAAAUGAUCUUUAGAAGGAGCCAAGUGUUAUGGGUGAAGGGGAUGAGAUACAAUCCAUUUGGUGUGCUCACCUAUGGCCUGAAAUGGCCCUGAAGAGGCUAAUGGUCUGGAAACCAAAUCUCAAGUGGCUGGGAGGCAAAAUGAAAGAGAAGCACAGCUAACUCAAGAUUUCCCUAAAAUGUGGGAAUGUCAUCAGAUUCAUGAAGCAUUGACCUUUGGGAGUUCAGUGAUUUCAUCUUUAUUUAUCUUACUGUUUCAUUUGCAAAACAUGCCUCCUCUGUUUUUGCUUAUCUAGGAGAUAAACAAUCUAUUAAAAGCACCAUCUAUAAUUCUUUAGCUUAUAAAAUCUACCAGUCUUACUGUCUCAUAAAACAUCUAGCUAGUCCCUCCUAAGCCUACUAAAUAUUUUGCUUGAUUCUUACUAUACCACUGGAUUCUCAAAAGGUUUCUGUAGUCAUAGCCAAAGGACUUUUCUCAGACCUCAUUAUCUUGGCCCUUCCAUACCUUCUAACACAACCAUAUCCCGUCUGAAACUGACUUCAAGGUCUUGUCUUUUCUUCUGGCUGUGAGACACAGUACCCUUCCUUGUGCUCUGUCUACCCUCUGACUGCUAACUUCUCUUCUCCAAGGAGAUCCCAGUCUACUGAACUUUUAACUCAUCACCACUCCCUGCCCCA